ensembl:lncRNA
CCAAGUUUAUUAAAAAAUACACCAUGGGAAAAAACAGAGACCUGGUGGAGUUCUCGCUGUGUUCACGUGCUGAGUGACUGAGAGGCGCACAGCCUCACAUGCAUGCACACGUGAUGUGUUCAUUCAGGGAGGGAGGGCUUUGUCCUCCUUGCCUAGGCUCAACCCAAGAGCUAGGAGAAAAAUAACAGCAGGCAUGGGAGGUGGGGCAUCCAGAGCAGUGAGGCAUAGCCUGCUACACUCUCUUUAUGCAGGUGUCACUGGGCAGGGAUCUGAGGAGGCGCUGGGCCAGGGCUUCCAGAGCAGAGGGAACUGCAGGCUCCUGAGGCUAGAGGCCAGGAGGUCAGCAGGGAGGCAGGAGGAAGGGAAGGAAGGGGAGGAGUGGGAGGAGGUGGGGCCACAGACACCCUUGGGGCCAGCAGUGUCGGCCUUCAGAGGCCCUGGAAGGACCUUGGCUUCCCCCCAGGCAGUGGAGUCCAAUGCAUUCUGCCUUCAGUCUUCCAUGACCUUUAUCUCAGCUCCUCCUCAGCACGUGACAGGAGGCUCCCUAGGGGCACACCGCGUGCCUGUGCCUCCCCGCGCCAAAGCUGGACUCCAUGAGUCCACAGCACCAUUCUGCUCAGUAGGUUGUGCAAACAGGAGAAUGACGCAAGCCGACCUCACCGGCGUCUUCUGUCCUGGGCCAAGUCCGCUUGCUGGCACCUCUGCAGCCUGCGUGCAGCAUUCCGCAGGGCUCCUUCUGACUGACUGCUCGUAUUCCACGGUGGAUAUUUCUGUGGUCGGUUCACUGGAGAUGGUGUCCUCUGUACACAGUUACGAAGCUUUUACGAAGUACAGUCGUGCUAAGAUACACCAGAACUUUUGCUUUUCUGAAUAAAAUAAAUACAUUGCAUUACAAUUACUGGUCUAAAUGGUAAAAUGUUCACCGUGGAGUCAAGGACGAGAGUCAGACUGAGACACAAUGGCGCCAAAUAAAGAGCUUUUCCAUGUGGAAUUUGUGCAGAAAAAUUAUGUUUAAUAAACCAGCUAAAUAGAAAUAUAAUAUUAAUUUUAUGAGAGUACACCCAUGUGUCAUGUUGCAUGUUAACACAGCAUGUGAUAUUGUAUGAAACACACAGAUUUGAAGGUUGUUCACGUGUGUGGAAGCUCCGUGUCCAGUCCCCGAUGGGAGCCCCAUGGCGGCCUGCCUGUCUGUCUGGGGCCCAGCCUUGCAGUGUGAGCUGCAGCCAGGGUUCUCACACAAGGGACUGCUUUGUGGAUGGAGCUUGGGAUUUUUUUUUUUUUUUUUGCUUCCUAUGCUGUCUAGCUUCUGGUAGCCCAGCUGAAACCAUAAACACUCAAAUUCAGAAACCUCUUUCAAAACCUGCGAAUGUUAAAUGCUUAAUUCUGAAAUCUUCCAUGAGGCUCUGAAAUGUACCUCUGGGCACCCCGCCGCAGCCUGUGAAGGACCCUCCCCUCCCAGGUCCCUAUUCUGACCUGUGGCGGGCACAUGGGUGGCACUGCCAGGCGGUCCUUUCCCGCUCUUCCUCUUCCCAGUAUGUUGAGUUUUCCAAGCUCUGAGUAUCCGAUGUCCCCGAGGAGCUGCCUGACACCGUGGCCUUGCCUUGACCAGGCUCUGACGGUCAGUCCUGCUGAUAUCCCGGUCACGUCAUUUCAGCUCAGAUCAAUAAGCUUUCAGGUAUCAUGCAGCAGGGUCAGCCUCUGCAGUGGAUAGCAGGCAUUCCCGGGUGAAGGGGAUGCCAUCCGCGCUUGUGAGAACCUGGUGUUUCAGCGAAGGCUUCAGCAGCCGUGAGGUUAGAAAAGGACUUUGCAUGAGCUGGAGCAGUUCAUUAUUUUCUAGGCAGAAAAUUGCCUUUGAGAAAGAGAAAAUAUGCGUUGAUUAGGCAACUACUCUGUACCAGAAACUUCACAUCCACUUUCAUUCAAUCCUCUAAGCAUCACCUAAGAGUUUCCUUGUCUUCCCUUUGGAUCAAACCAUCAGUCCAAGGACAGGAGGGUCAGUCCCAGCCCUGCUCCUCUCCAGAGCUUUUGUCCUCCCACCCAACCCGCAGGCUCGAUUUCAUAACCUUUUUGUCCGCGUGUGACCUCCAGCGCGGAUAUUUCUAGAAGGAAGAUGAGGAAAGCUGCCGAAUUCAUGCACAGAACAUUGCCCCGGAUUUGGUAAAGUAUACCUUUUCCCUAGUUCUUUCUGUUAUUUGUGUUUCAGUUGUCACUCUGUGCAAAAGGCAGGUGAGUACAGCUGCCUCUGUUUUCCCUCCUGGGCGCCGCUCCUCUGCUUCCCGUAAACGUGGGCACCCUCUCCGUGUAGUGUGUGCGGUAAGGACUCAGCUUUCUCUCCAGGUAGCGGGACUGGAGCGCUGGCUGUUAACACAGGUCCCCAGAACAUGAACGGUCUUGACAGAAAAAUAAGCUGCCCAGGGCGUUCAUUCUCUGACCCACAGCCUCACUUUCCCUUCCAAAAUUAAAUGGCCCCUUUAAAACUAGAAGAGUGUUGCAGGCUUUAGACCAAGAGAGAGAAUCAAAACAGCCAGUGAUUCCUUUUUUCUUUCUUUCUUUCUUUUCUUUCUUUUUUUUAGAUGGAGUCUCUCUCUAUCGCCCAGGCUGGAGAGUAGUUGUGCAGCUUCAGCUCACUGCAACCUCUGCCUCCUGAGUUCAAGCAAUUCUCCUGCCGCAGCCUCCUGAGUAGCUGGGAUUACAGUGCCCACCACCACGCCUGGCUAAUUUUUGUAUUUUUAGUAGAGAUGGGUUUUCACUAUAUGUUGGCCAGGCUGGUCUCGAACUCUUGACCUCAGGUGAUUUGCCCACCUAGGCCUCCCAAAGCCAGUGAUUCUUAACCUUGGUGGUUCCUCAGACUCAGUGAUACGCUCAUUAAAAAUACAUAUGCCUAUUUCUUAUACCUCAGGGAUUCUGCUUCUCUCUAUUUUGGGGGUAGGAACUGAGCAGCCAUGUUUUCAUAAAAUGUCUCAUCAUCAUUUUAAUGGUCUCCAAGUUUGAGGAGCACUGGUCCACAUGGACAGCCAGGGUCUGGGUUCUCUCUGCUCCUCAGCACCACUGCCCAGGCGUACUUAGAGUUCACAGUGGACACCUCAAUGGCUCUAGGCCCUGACUCCACCUGGCUGAGUCAGAGGUGCGGGUGUACCCCGAAGAGCUGUGCUGAGUCAGAGGUGUCGGUGUACCCCGAAGAGCUGUGCUGAGUCAGAGGUGUGAGUGUACCCCAAAGAGCUGUGCUGAGUCAGAGGUGUCGGUGUACCCCAAAGAGCUGUGCUGAGUCAGAGGUGUGAGUGUACCCCAAAGAGCUGUGCUGAGUCAGAGGUGUCAGUGUACCCCGAAGAGCUGCACCGAGUCAGAGGUGCGGGUGUACCCCAAAGAGCUGUGCUGAGUCAGAGGUGUCGGUGUACCCCGAAGAGCUGUGCUGAGUUAGAGGUGUGAGUGUACCCCAAUGAGCUGUGCUGAGUCAGAGGUGUCAGUGUACCCCGAAGAGCUGUGCUGAGUCAGAGGUGUCGGUGUACCCCAAAGAGCUGUGCUGAGUCAGAGGUGUGAGUGUAUCCUGAAGAGCUGUGCUGAGUCAGAGGUAUGGGUGUACCCUUAAGAGCGGUGCUGAGUCAGAGGUGUGAGUGUAUCCUGAAGAGCUGUGCUGAGUCAGAGAUGUGGGUGUACCCUGAAGAGCGGUGCUGAGUCACAGGUGUGGGUGUACCCCGAAGAGCUGUGCCGAGUCAGGGUAUGGGUGUACCCUGAAGAGCUGUGCCGAGUCAGAGGUGUGGGUGUACCCUGAAGAGCUGUGCUGAGUCAGCGGUAUGGGUGUACCCUGAAGAGCUGUGCCGAGUCAGAGGUGUGGGUGUACCCUGAAGAGCUGUGCCGAGUCAGGGUGUGGGUGUACCCUGAAGAGCUGUGCACACAUUUAGCAAGGAGAUUGCCCAGGCCUCUUGAUCUCUUUCUGGAUUCCAAAAGCCUCGUAUCAGUUUUCCUCUGACAUUGUUGUCGCUGUGUCCACGUGGGGGACAGCCAGGGGCAUGGGUCAGGCUGUGGCCCUACACGCUUCCUCCCUCGCCCCAUGAAUCCACGCCUGUUCACCUCGGCAUCCUGUGCUGUGAAACACACACGUGCGUCAUGUAAUUAAAGUCAUGAGCUCGAGUCCGCACUCCCUUUUAUUUCAUGGAACACAGUAAAUCACCGUGUGUUAUGUUUCAUUCAGAACACCCGGGUCCCAGCUCCCUCGCCUCCAUGCUGUAUGAGCGCCCCGCUCCGCUCCAUCCCCAGCUGUCUGUGCUUUCGCGGUAAGAGGGCUCAGCGGUUGCUUGUUUUAAAAGAACUGAGUGGAUCACCAGAACAGACAGACCAGCUUCUUUCACGCCCUAGGGCCCAGCGCGGUUUGGAAAGCGGUUCUCCUGACACACCUUUUUCUAUCCAACACUUUUACACAAUAUCCAAAACACACUCUUGCACAUGAAGAAUGGCGAUCUUCCACUGGGAAGACCCAGCAAAGGAUGACCAGAAAAUCGCACUGAGAAAACUCGGGUUCCUCUAUGAAAAUAAAAUUAAACAUCUAAUAAAUACCACUCAUCAAACCCCGAACCUAGAUCAAAAGAAGACCUUUAAAGAACCAGACACAGAUGUGAGAGAAUAAUAAUAUUAAAACAAGAUGUAGGAUUUCCCAAGUAAAAUCUCAGAAAGCAAAAAGAGAAAUAUUUAUAAAUUUUAUUUUGUAAACAAAAACUUAUAUCUUUAAACUUUAUGGAGAAAAUUAAAUUAAAAUCAAAAACAGGAAAUAACCUUCAAUAAUACUUAAUAAGUAACAUACACCAGCCAAUAAAAAUAGUACAACUGCAUUAAAACUUGACAAAUGGCGUGAAUGAAGUGUUUGCAGAAAAGGAAAGUCGAAAUGCCUAAUUCAUAUCAAAAUGCGCAGAAUAAUAUAAUCUUACGCUGUUUCGCCUCCAAGUUAGCAAAUAAUUUUACAAGCUCUAAUCCUCAUGGCGACUGAGCAUAUGUGAGACAAGCUCUAAUCCUCAUGGCUGGUGUGUAUAUGUAGACAAGCUCUAAUACUCAUGGCUGGUGUGUAUAUGUUAGACAAGCUCUAAUCCUCAUGGCUGGUGUGUAUAUGUAGACAAGCUCUAAUACUCAUGGCUGGUGUGUAUAUGUUAGACAAGCUCUAAUCCUCAUGGCUGGUGUGUAUAUGUGAGACAAGCUCUAAUCCUCAUGGCUGGUGUGUAUACGAAGACAAGCUCUAAACCUCAGGGCUGGUGUGUAUAUGUAGACAAGCUCUAAUCCUCGUGGCUGGUGUGUAUACGAAGACAAGCUCUAACCCUCAGGGCUGGUGUGUAUAUGUAGACAAGCUCUAACCCUCAUGGCUGGUGUGUAUAUGUGAGACAAGCUCUAAUCCUCAUGGCUGGUGUGUAUAUGUGAGACAAGCUCUAAUCCUCGUGGCUGGUGUGUAUACGUGAGACAAGCUCUAAUCCUCAUGGCUGGUGUAUAUAUGUAGAAAAGCUCUAAUCCUCAU